AUAAAUUGACAAGCAGGAAAGGCACCCUGCGCUCCUGUUAUAAGGAACCUGAUAUGAUGGAUACGCCGCCCAUCCAAUUUUA
rnacentral:ncRNA from 1 species